AAUGCUAUUUGCAUUAGGAUAUGCCUGUAUAUGUCACUAUAAUUUCCAUCUCAGUGUUGCGUUGUGGGAAAUUUUACUUACCCCCUGGUCUCAUUAGAAUGAAAGGUGACUUCAAAUGUUGGGGUCAUGUUUGAGCAUCACUCAAGUCAUUACGGAAGGCACCACGUCUCUGCACCAGGGUUGGCCAGCCACCAGGAAAGAGCUCAUCAAAGAGACUUGCGUCCAGGUGGACACAUUGAUGAUCAUCUUCCCAUUCCAGGAUCCUCCAAGGAGAACACGUAAGAUGAGAGCCCUAAAUAUAGUUCUCACCAAUAAAUUCAUCUGAGGUUCUAAGUGAUUUUGAGCAAGUGAUUCACUCUCUUGCCUCAGUUUUCACUUCUGUCCAUUCUGCUGAAUUCUUAUAAGGGUCAUAUAAU
rnacentral:lncRNA from 1 species